rnacentral:rRNA from 1 species
UGGUGGAGUGAUCUGUCUGGUUAAUUCCGUUAACGAACGAGACCCCUGCCUGCUAAAUAGUCAAAUGAGUGAUUUUUCACUGAUUGUGGCCUCUUAGAGGGACGUGCAUUUUAUUAGAUGCAGGAGGAUAGGGGCAAUAACA